rnacentral:rRNA from 1 species
AUUGAACGCUGGCGGCAUGCCUUACACAUGCAAGUCGAACGGCAGCACGGGGGCAACCCUGGUGGCGAGUGGCGAACGGGUGAGUAAUACAUCGCAACGUGUCCUGUCGUGGGGGAUAACCAGUCGAAAGACUGGCUAAUACCGCAUGAGAUCGAGAGAUGAAAGCAGGUGACCGCAAGGCCUUGCGCGCUUGGAUCGGCCGAUGCCGGAUUAGCUAGUUGGCGGGGUAAAAGCCCACCAAGGCGACGAUCCGUAGCUGGUUUGAGAGAACGACCAGCCACACUGGGACUGAGACACGGCCCAGACUCCUACGGGAGGCAGCAGUGGGGAAUUUUGGACAAUGGGGGCAACCCUGAUCCAGCCAUGCCGCGUGUGUGAAGAAGGCCUUCGGGUUGUAAAGCACUUUCGGACGGAACGAAAUCGCACGGGUGAAUAUCCCGGGUGGAUGACGGUACUGUAAGAAGAAGCACCGGCUAACUACGUGCCAGCAGCCGCAGUAA